rnacentral:ncRNA from 1 species
UAAUAUAUAGUGAUUAGAAGAGUAAUUGUUAGCCGCUCCUGAAGAGAGCCCUUGCUGCUGAGAAAAGGGUGGAUGCUGAUAAUGAAACACAUCUAUGAAUUAAUAAGCUGAACGAGUAAUUUAAUUACUUUACUAAGGUUAUUCGACUAGGAUCGUUAUCCUGUUGAUUAAUUCAACAUGAGAUUUAUUUUGUGAAAAAUAAAUAAAUUGAGGUGGAACCACGAUAAUUCGUCCUCUUA